rnacentral:rRNA from 1 species
GACGAACGCUGGCGGCGUGCUUAACACAUGCAAGUCGAACGGUGAAGCGAGUGCUUGCACUCGUGGAUCAGUGGCGAACGGGUGAGUAACACGUGAGUAACCUGCCCAUCACUCUGGGAUAAGCACUGGAAACGGUGUCUAAUACUGGAUACGACCAACCCUUGCAUGGGGUGUUGGUGGAAAGAUUUAUCGGUGAUGGAUGGACUCGCGGCCUAUCAGCUUGUUGGCGGGGUAAUGGCCCACCAAGGCGACGACGGGUAGCCGGCCUGAGAGGGUGACCGGCCACACUGGGACUGAGACACGGCCCAGACUCCUACGGGAGGCGGCAGUGGGGAAUAUUGCACAAUGGGCGAAAGCCUGAUGCAGCGACGCCGCGUGAGGGAUGACGGCCUUCGGGUUGUAAACCUCUUUCAGCAGGGAAGAAGCGAAAGUGACGGUACCUGCAGAAGAAGCACCGGCUAACUACGUG